rnacentral:rRNA from 1 species
CACGAACCGUACAAACGUUAUUCGGAAUUACUGGGCUUAAAGGGUGCGUAGGCGGCCCGGAAAGUUGGAUGUGAAAUCCCUCGGCUUAACCGAGGAAUAGCGUUCAAAACUACCGGGCUCGAGGAAGACAGAGGUGAGUGGAACUUAGGGUGGAGCGGUGAAAUGCGUUGAUAUCCUAAGGAACACCAGUGGCGAAAGCGACUCACUGGGUCUUUUCUGACGCUGAGGCACGAAAGCCAGGGGAGCGAACGGG